AUUGAACGCUGGCGGCAGGCUUAACACAUGCAAGUCGAGCGGGGUGAUGGUGCUUGCACUAUCACUUAGCGGCGGACGGGUGAGUAAUGCUUAGGAAUCUGCCUAUUAGUGGGGGGCAACAUCUCGAAAGGGAUGCUAAUACCGCAUACGUCCUACGGGAGAAAGCAGGGGAUCACUUGUGACCUGUCGCUAAUAGAUGAGCCUAAGUCGGAUUAGCUAGUUGGUGGGGUAAAGGCCUACCAAGGCGACGAUCUGUAGCGGGUCUGAGAGGAUGAUCCGCCACACUGGGACUGAGACACGGCCCAGACUCCUACGGGAGGCAGCAGUGGGGAAUAUUGGACAAUGGGGGGAACCCUGAUCCAGCCAUGCCGCGUGUGUGAAGAAGGCCUUAUGGUUGUAAAGCACUUUAAGCGAGGAGGAGGCUCUUUUGGUUAAUACCCAAGAUGAGUGGACGUUACUCGCAGAAUAAGCACCGGCUAACUCUGUGCCAGCAGCCGCCGUAA
rnacentral:rRNA from 1 species